GAGAGGCUGCCCAGCAACAGAGGGGAUAGGAAAGGAGCCAAAAACUAUAAAAAGACGUGAAUAACAGCAGCUGACUGAGCAUUUAGAAAACUACAGAUAAGGCAGACGUGAUAAUGUCUUAGUAAGUAAAGCUUUCUCAUGGCUACCUUUCAAUAUCUUUAAUAUGACUGCUGCAGGAGAUAGAGUAGGUCCCUUUGUUGAAUACAAGUGUGAUUGUAGGACUCACAUGAACCUCACAAAAAGCAGGACCUAAGUGUCCAGAGUGCUAAGGCCCUGUUUAUAAUAAGGUUGUUUCUAAUAAUUUGAUGACUGUUUUUUAAACCAUGAGAUAUAUGUGAAAGUAUCAUGAUUAUUUAAUCUUGACUAAUUUAGAGCUUCAGUGCUCUGUGAUGUAUUUUGACUUUUUUAUUCCUCAUGCAACUCCAGAGAGUGGAAAUGUAACAGAUGAUAAAAAUAAAAGAACAAUUAUUAAAAUAUAAUUAAUUUAAAAGGACAUAUUUUCAUUGUCAAUAUAGGAAAAUAAGACUGGGCCUGGAGAUCGCUGAGACGUUUGAGGAACAACUAGCUAAUCGUAGUUUAUAGUGAUGCAGCAAAGAUAAGACUGAUAUUUUGAAGGGGAGAAGAGCAUUAAUUACUCAAGUCUAUUCUCCUGGAGAGGCCAGUAGUCGCUCAUACGAUCAGUCAUAAUCCUGUAAAGGGCAUUGUUUAGUUCAUGAUGAGAGAGGUUUUAUAUUACUUUAUCUGUCUGUUACUUUCUCGCAGUUCAUCAUUUUCCCUCUCUCUGUACUUUUCUGAGUUUCUCUAAUUGGGAUGUAAUCAACAGUAAUCAACAUUUCAGCAGGAUGCAUCAAUAUGAAUACGCUGAAAUUAGCACAACAGCUGAAUUCAAUCUUUAGUCCUAAGGCGGAUUCUUGCAUUGAACGGAGUCUGCAUGAUUUGAGUCAUUUAGGUGCAUUUUGGUUGAUGUUAUCUUCCAGGCAUGUAAAACUGGUUCAUAGCCGCUAGAUACUGGCGAGGGUAAACCCAGCCCUGCAGUGUGGCAAUAAAAAUGGGUGCAUUUUAAAAGUCUAUGUUUCCUACCUGUGCUUGUGCAUGAGCAACUUUACUAUGCCAAGCCCACCUCCUCCAAUCGUAAUGUGUAGCAGGAGCAAAAUGACAAAACAAAUGAUAUUUUUAAUACUGACACAUUGAUCCACAGUGAGCCCUAACCGUAAAACCACACUGAGAAUUUAUCCCAGUGAUUUUGCCUUUAAGCUGUUUAAGGUAAUUAACUUCAUAAUAGUAAUAUUAGUAAUAGCUCACAGUAAGAGAGUAUAUUGUAUGGAAAAUGACUUAUCAGCAGCACAAGCCCCUCUUCUUCACCUCUGAUCUUCAGCCAAUACAUGCAGCUGGUGUUAAGUACUCCAAAACCUGCUGAGCUCUGACGCAGGUUUCUAAUUCAUCAACGGGGACGACAAGACUGAACAUCUACUCGUACAUCAAACUGGUUAAUCUCCUUUCACUGAGAAUGAAUCAUCAACUGAUUUAUGAAGGAGUAACAACCUAUGGUGUAACCCCUGAUCCUCGACCCAAUGAAGAUUUACAUUCACACUCACUGGCUGCAUUAAAUGAGUGAGUGUCAGGCUGGAGUUUGAACAAAGUCUGAUCAUAUAAAUACUGACAAAAUUCAGUUGCUGUGAGGUUGAUCUUCGUAUUAUGAGGUGGCUGAUAGCAGUUUGGUUGAGAGUUUAAUUUUUUGUUUGUUAGCAUACCAGUCAUCUUCAUAAACAAUCAGCCAUCUUACCAGCAUGCUAACAAGCACUUUUGACAAAAAAUCUCAUCCUGCUGACUCGGGGCAGUUAAAAAUAUCAUUAAUUGUGCGCAUUUUGUGUGAAAACUUCUUAUAGUAACUUUAACUUUUCUAAUCAUCAGAAAUAAAGGCUCUAUACUAUAAGUAGCUUUGCAUUUUUCUUCUUUUUGAGGCAAAAAGACAGAAAAGUAUUAGCUGGCUCACUUUCACUGAGAUGUGUUGUAUAUGUCUCUUGAUAAGUGGAGCAGAUGUUGUUUUUUGACGAUGUUGAUGAAUCAGAAAGUAGAAGAAAAGUGUUAAAGUAUGACAAAAUCAAAUAAUACAAGAACAAUACAAGCUUUUAGGUUACUGUUUUAAAGAGCUGUUAUUUAUUUAUUCUUGGCUAAAAAGGAGUGCUUUUCUUCUUUUUUUGCUUUUCUCAGUGCAGAUUGAUUUUUAUGUGUAUUUUUUGAGUAUGUUCAAAGCCAACAGCUUAUAAGUGAGCACAGAUGAAACAGAACUCUUUUGUUCUAGUAUUUGUAUCUUUUAGGUCUAACACAUGUUAACCUUUGUGGUCCUUACAAAAAAAAGUUCAUAUUACUUUUUACACAAAAUCUUUUUUCUUUUUUUUUAAUGAUGAAACUUUCCUAUCUCACCUGUCCCGAACCUCACUCUGCUACAUUUAGAACUACUCCAAUUUUCAAUAUUAUAUUACUUACAACAAAGUGACAGGAUAUAGUGUGUGAAAAAACUCUUUAAGUAGCCAGCUUUAUUAGAGCAUCCUUUCACUCACGCACGUGAGGAUAAAUGUACUGUCGAGAGAGCUAAAUGCAGACCCACUUUAUCAGACAGGAAGAUAAAGCACAGGCUCAUCAGUCAUACUGGUUCACCUGGUUAGAUGCCUUCAGUAAAUUAUUCAUUGUGGUAGUGUGUCUUUGUCCCUCUGUGAAAAAGAUCACUGUGAUGAAAAAGCAACAUUUAUUUUAUAUUUUUCUAUUUUCCACUUUUCUACAGUUGUUAGUGUUUAAUGGAGGCUAUACCUGUUUUGUGUUGAAUGUGACUGAACAGUUCGUGUCACAAACCUUAGGAUUUGAUGAUAAUUAGUCGUAGUACGACAACAUUGAUCUCUGAAAUGUGUGCUUUUAAGUUGUCCUGAUGUCAUACCAACUGCAGCUACGAUCCUUUUUAUUUUAUUUCAAUUUUUUUAUAUUUAUAUGAAGUAUUUAUGUUGAAUUUGACAGAAAACUCUGAGUCCCCAUGGUACUCACAGCUCUAUGCUGAGUCUGAAACAAAGUGGCCAUCCACUUUAAAAGGGCAACUGGCUAAUUCAUCUCCUCAGCUCUUAGCAGAAUGAUUAACAGAGUAGUAAAGCGGAGAAAUUUCAAAUUGUCUGGUCUAUGCUUGGUGAACUGGCAAGAGGCUGUAAGGAGACUCUUGGUUAUAAAUGGAAGAGUGUAAUUUAUCUUUGAGUACUUGUAACAGGGUCUUUAAUCACCAGCCGUCCACCUAUAUGACUCUAAGUGUCUAAAGACAUUCAUCUUCAGGGGUGCCAGGGACAUUUGUUUGAAGGAUGAAAGAUGUGUGGAUAUAAAUCAUGUAUAUUUACAUAAAAUAGUGCUGUUAGAGCUAUGGAUGUUUAUUGUUUCUGUAUCAGUAAUUCUUUUUAUGAGUAAUGAGUAAUUUUGUCUAAUUAUAGGUUAUUAAAUCCUUGUUUUCUUCACACUCCAAAGAGGGGAAAUCAUUACUCUGAAACUGGAUUGGAUUAUUGUGAUUUUAUAUAUUUAUUUUUUUGUGGACUACAAAAGUAAUAUUUAUAUUAUAUACUCUUUAUAGCAUUUUCACCUGGGAAACAAGCACAACAACACAUUUUAACAUGUAAUAAUUAUGGAUCACAUGUUUUGUGUAUGUACGUAUAUGCUUGAAACAAUGCUAGCAUUACAGUAAAGAGCAUACAUGUGCUCUGAAGUGCAAAUUUAUAUGAAGUCUUCAGUAUCAAAUGAAUGAAUUUUUGAAGAGUGAUUAAAUUCACCUCUAUAAUCCAUUUUUGUUCAUUUGAUCUCAAACACAUCUCACUUUAAAAAAAAAAAAGAAGAAAAUACUGAGUUUGAAUUUUACAGAGUAUUAUCUGCCUCUCAUGUAAGUGUGUGCCAACAUCCUUCUUCCUCAUCUUUUCCACAUAAAGCCAAAAGCUCUGGGGAGCAGGUCUGAUUGUGUGUUGUACAGCCAGCAGUGUAAAGAGCUUUUAUUCAUGCAGGGAAGCAGAACUUCAAAGUCAAACAUUUUGCUUUAAUCUGUUUACAUCAGGCAGACGGGAUCCAUCAUGACUAAACAAAGCCUGGUCAAAUCAAAGUGACCCCGCAUUAUUCUUCUUAAAAGCUGCUGUAAAGACGUGAAUUGUGUUUAUUUCAGUUACAGCCUCAGGAAUUUUAACUGACCUUGGCACUGAUUGUAACUGAUAUCAAAAGGACUCGUUUUUAAAAUGUGCAGGUUUAGCUUCAUGAGGCCAAAGUGAGCUCAUGAGACGCAAUUAGAUAAGAGUAAAAGUUCAUGUGACGGAGGGAAUAACCAAAAUAGUUUAAUGCACUGUGGGAUUUUAUAUUUAAUAUGAUGCUGUAUGUACAAAACAAAUAUCUGACAGUAACUUUUUUGACCAUGAGAGAAAUUUUUGCUGUUUGAAAUAUGCAUGCUUCAUUUAUCAUCAUAUUUAUUGUCAAAAGUAACUCAGUGUGUGUUCAUUCAUUCAGUCGGUAUUACAUGCAGUAAAGUAUGCAGUCCCCAGUAUAAUGUCACUACUACCUUUCUAAAGUGAAAUCAUGGUACCGGGUCAAAAGGUGCUUAUAAACAAGUGUGAAAUGUGUCAUGAGAGCACAACUUUCAGGUCUUGCAGGAACCUGACAUCUGGCAGCAUGAUGAGUCAGAAUCUGAGCAGCUGGACAUGAGAGUGUGCAGCUCAAAAAAAAAAACAAAGAAAGAGCCAGCACACAUCUCAGUUUAACCGCCUUUAUGUCUGCAAACUACAGCCAGUAAGAUACAGCCUUCAAGCCCUUGAUACUGACCUGUGCAGUUCUGUUGAGGUUCUAGUGUCCCCAACGGCUGUCCUAGCCCUGAUAUGUAUGUGUGGUCAUGAGGACUACAGGCUGCAGAGGCUGGGAGCGGUAGAGCUGUUUGCCAGAUUGGUUGGAAGAUAAGAAGUGAAAACCCGAGGCCUUCAAAGCCUGUAGGUCCCCACAGUCACAUAAGAUUCAUUCUGUGUACAAGUGGUAUCUCUGCAGCCGAAGUCAUAUAGUCAAAAGGCCAUAGAGAAGUGGUGUUGGUAUGUACAGUAUGUGGUUGUGUAUUUUAAGACACAUCAAAUAAAUCAAAUCAGGAAUCAGAUAAGAAAAUGUGUCAUCUACACUUCUCUGUUUUUAAUACUGAUAUUAUUGCUUAAUUUCAACAUGCUACAAUCACAUGUUCUGCAUGUGUAACCUCAGACACAUUUUAAUGUUCAGAUCAGCUUAGAGUUAGGCAAUAUGACAAAGCUGGGACUUGGCAAAGACCCCAUAAUGUGAUGCAUAUCAUGAUCAAGGUCAUGCUAUGAAAUAUGAUCAUCUAUAAAUUCAAACUGAAUCAAAAUAUCUAUAUUAUAUAUCUUCAAAUGCCACCAUUUACAGCAGCCAGCUUGACUGUUUUCUUCACAGCUCUGAUGUUAAUUUUGUCUGCGGCACCAUACGAUAUGUACAAAACUGAGUGUCCUUAUAUUUCUGUUGUUAUGCUGACUUAAAAGGGUCAUAUAACUUGAAAUAAGCUUGAAUGUCUAUCGGCGUUAGUCCGGAGUGGUUGUCCUUAUCAAAAAUAGAAUAGAAGAACAACAUGUGACAUUUGUUCUAUAGCAAAUGUAGUGCCGUUGAUGUUCACCACAGAACGAUCCCUCGGGAUAACAUAUGGUAGUAUGUGAUGAAUAAAUAGAAGAUCAGAGGGUUUCUCUUUUUGUUCUUUACCUUAAUGCCAUUUCUCUCCGUAUAAGUCUGCCUAUGUGACCCAAGUGUCAAAGAAAAAAGAGAACGAGGACAUCAUCUCCGGAUUGUGACUUAAAGGGUGUAUAUUUAGACAAAAUCAUAGACCUUUGUUUUUACCCAUGCUGCUUUGUAGAGUGCGUGUGUGUGUGUGUGUGUGUGUGUGUGUGUGUGUGUGUGUGUGUGUGUGUCCUGUGUCAACAGCCUUUCUGGAAACUAAAGCAGGAAGCGGCACCAUGUUUAACCGUGUACGCAGAUGUUGAAUUAAACACAAGUGUGUUGUGAAAAAACACACAUUAACAUUUGCCAUGCUGCUUUUUGUCUAGACUUUUUUAAUGUUUGUAAAGGUAAUGAUGAAAUUAGAAUAUAAACAUAAUAUUUAUUAGAUUAGAUUUAAUGUUUAAUGUCAGCUGGAUAGAUGAGUUGUUUCCAGUGUGCAUCAAUUGAGAUUUCAGGUCAAACAUCAAUGCCGUUACUCUCUGGUAACAAGUGAUAUGAGUUUUAUUAAAUAUGCACUGCUAAUAUUAUCCCACGCAAUUAGUGACAGGUGACUUCAAGAAAGAUUAUUACUUAUUUGACUCUUUACCAGGAGAAAGGCAGAGCAACAGCAGCAGCAUGUAUCACUGGAUAAGGGGAGACUCUUUCCAGAAAAUCUGCUCUUUUAAAGUUCAAUCUUUUUAAAUUCUUUGAGAAAAUACAAAACAACAGAAAGUAAAGUAGGAAAAGUAGCAUAAAAGUCGAAUGUCUGCUAUAUAAAUAGAGCUGGAAGCCAGUAAAACCCGCAACAUGCUCCAGAUUGUAAUGCAUCUGCUUGUUAUGACUCAGUAGUGCCGUUUAUAGAUCAUUACCCAAAGCACUGCAUACUGACAUCAACAGUAUGACCCCUGCUUUGUCUUAUGCCCAGAUUUGUGACGAAUGCUAAGCUCAGUAUAUUAAAGACUGUCUUUACACCUGUAGAAAACACAGGAUAACUUUAGGAGCGUUAAUAACUUCAAGUUGUUCAAGUUAGGUAUUUUGUAAUGUUACUUCCCUACAGUCCUGCAAAACACACAUUUUAUUUAUGGGCAAUAAAAGCUGAUAGUUAAUUUUGUGUUUUGUUCGAGCCUGUUGUGUUUUAUUUGCUCACACCAGGCCUAUAACCCACUUUAUGAUGCCACCUGAGCACCGCUCACAGCGUUUCCUUUAUCGUGAUCCUGCAUUUAUAAAAGCUCUGCAUGUUUUUGAGUUCUUUUCAUGCAUCCUUACAGUGUUUUUCUUUGUCAUUUCAGCUAAAGGGGAUGCUGAGUCACUUUGGGAUCCUGACAUCAUCAUCAUGAGACGGGGAGGCUGGUGAGCGGUGACCUAAGGCAGCGGUGGGAGGCGGUGCCUUUGUAUGUGGUUGGCGGUGCCUUUGGCUGCUGGUUCUUGGCAAAAAAAAAAAAGUCACCCCUGUGGAGUUGUUUCAGCAACUUAUUUGCCAAAUAUCGGGAGAAAAAGAAGUCUGAGGACAGAUUUUUAUUGUCACAAUGCCCCAAAUGAGCAUAAAGCACCUGCAGAGGGUUGGUGGCAGGGUUGAGGUUUUGUUGGCUUUCCAAACUGUUUUCCAGCUUGUGGGCUGAUUCAGAUGCAAAAUCUUGACAUACACUGAAGUUUUGCUGACGGUGUUUAAAUCCCAGCCAGCUAGGCACACAGCAAAAACAUACAUCUACUACUUCCUCUAAAGUCUUAGUGGAGUUAUUAAUAGAAGCUAAGUUAAUUUCUUCACCAUGAGGCAAGUUGGAAAACUACCAGAAGGUGCUGAUGUGGAACUUUUCCUCCUCAGACCAUAAAACUUUGUUUUUAAAGAUGAUUUCAUAACAAUUGAAGCUUUUAUAAUUUUUUUUUCUUAUGAUUAUUAGGCAUGUGUAGAUGAGUUGAAAAAGGAACAUAAAAGACAGGAUGACACAGCAAUCUUUAUUUCUUUAUACUGUGUAUUUUUAACUCACAUUUAUUCUCCUGGAUCGCCAUUUCUCUCAAAGUUUGACUGUUCUGUUUUAAUAUUUGGAGAAAUCAUCAGUAAAGAUUUUUUUAACUUGCUGUGACGGUUGUGUAAUUUGUGUGAUUAUGACAGAGGUUGACUUUGAAUAUGGGCAGUGUUUAUAUGAAGCAAGGUUAUAAAUAAAUAGUUAUAUGUGUUUCAUAAAAGUGCAUUUACUAGCUGUUUAAGGUAGUUUUGUGGUAGUAAAGAGACGCUUCACUUAUCAUCAGAAAGCAGCAAAAUCACAUCGUCUUUAUAAGAGAUAUUGCAGCCUGUGUGGUGUUUACUGAAACAGCUUCGUCUCACAUGGUCUGAGUUAAGAGCUCCAGUGAUUCAUGUACUCCCUGGCAAAAACUGGGUUUUCCUCAAAGCCUGGAGACAGCUUGCUCUGGUGAGACAGCGGGACAUAAAAGCUGUGAAGGUUCUCUUGUAUAUCUGCACCCAUAGCCAGGGGUAUAGUCUCCUCAUUGUCCAUUGUGGGUCAAGUCGACACAAAAGGGUGAUCACACUGCCAUCCCUGCAGCUGUACAUGUCUCUUUGUACAAGUUGCACUGGUAUGAGUUUGAUGCAGAGAUCCACAAACUCUAAAGGCUGCUCAUUUUGAGGUAGCCUUUAGCCUCUAGAUAUUCAGGAAAAACAAACAACUAAGAGUAAAGAUGUGAAAUGUUGUUCAAAUGCAUACAUCUUAAUUAUACCAGCUGAAUUUUGUUUUUAAAUGUAAAACUCACAAACCUCACAGAAUUCCAGUCGAAAAUACUCUGAAUUUCCCAGACAGUUUAAGUAUUUUCCAAGAUAUCCUUAUGGAUAAGUGACACUGUGAGUGGGUGGUAUAUAAAAUAUUGACAAAGCAACUUUCACUUGACUUUCUCUCUUAAUUUGACACAUUUGAUCAGAUUGUCCCUGGCCUUACUACUCCUGUUAAGAAUCACUUACCUUUUUUAUGAGGUGUAACCCAUCAGAACCUAUUGUUUAACACAGUGGGGUAAUAAGAUACAACAUAUAACACAAUGUAAAUAACAGAAUUGCUUCAUUAAGAUUCCACUCUCACUCAAAGAGUUUUAUCUCCACAGUGUUUUGAAACUCUUUGUAGUUGUCGGUUUAUCAGUCGAGUGAAUUCUUUGACCCUCAGGUUGCUGAAUUUUAACACAGUUAUCAGAGAGAAUAUGCAUCCACUGGGUAAAAAUUACCUUUCCAACAAAAUAUUUUUCUUCCAAAAAUAGUGAUGUUCUGUUUGUCCUGAGAUGAACUGAAUAUUUCACUUUACUAAGAAGAAGUGUUUGAUCUCCUGAGGACCAAACACAUCAGACACAAAGAGAUGCUUUCUGUAAAGCAGUCAUUUAUGUCUCUGCAGGCACAGCUAUUUCUGUCGGCAGAGGGAGUGAACUAGAAUCAAAGUCUCCAUGUUGGCCUCAUCAGUCUCUACGAACCCAUCCACACAAACCUAAAUCUGAUAUCCUUAAUUGUUUGCCUCACACCUAUAUUAAGUUUAAUUGUCAAACACGGAAAACUAUCCCUACAUAAAACUUUGACCUUGUGUGACAUGUUUGAUCAAAAAAAGGAUUUGGUUAUCCUUUUAGGACACAAUAUUGUUAGUUUGAAAGGGUUUGAAAUAUUAGCUUUCUAAAUAAAUAAAUAAAUAAAUAUUGUGUCCAAAAAGGAUAACCAAAUCCUUUUUUUGAUCAAACAUGUCACACAAGGUCCAAGUUUUAUGUAGGGAUAGUUUUUAGUGUUUGAUCAAAAAAAGGAUUUGGUGAUCCCUUUAGGACACAAUAUUGUUAAAGGGUUUGAAAUGUUAGCUUUCUAAAUAAAUAAAUAUUGUGGCAAAAACCUGAACUUCAACCAUCUCUGAAAAGGAAAAUUUGAACAAUAUCCAGUCCUGCAAUCCAGGCAGUGGUAGCAGAGCUGUUGAGAGCAUUUUUGAUUUAUUGACCUUUAGCAACUAUGUUAAAGUUUGGGUAUUGCUUAAUUCAUAAAGUGGUUAUCACAUGUUUUGCAAUUUCCCAACAAGAGUACUGGAAAAAAUCUGUUUUCUUGUGACUGUUUUUUUAUGACAGGUGACUUCAUCAGUUGAUUGCUGAGAUUAGCUGAACUUUGUCCCCUAAAAUAAGGAUGGGCAGAGGAGCAGACUUAAAGUUUAGUGUUCUCGGUGUUCUUUUUUUUUUUUUUAUCACAUUCCUUUUGAUAUAGUUAUGGUGCAAUUGGAAAUGCCAAGCUAGGAAUAAGAGCUCAAAAUUAGCAAUGGCUUCACACUCACCUGAUGUGACGUACAUGAGUUUCACUUUCUGAAUCUGAUCUAUUUUACAUUUUUACUUAUAUUAUUAACUCCAAUAAGGAUGAGGUGAGUUCAUCAUUUUUAUACCAGCCCGGAUUAAACAAGCGUCUCUCUAGCUGUAGUGUUGUGAAAGUGUAAUUGAGGCUGUUUCGCUUCUGACCACACCCUGCAGACUUUCAACUCUCAUAUAGAAAGUGCUAAUACCUCGUUUUUCAUCUGAUGUUGGAUGAGCAGUUGGACAUUUUAAAAAUAUUAUUUACAUGCUGGUGAUCUUAGAUAAGCUUAAAGACUGAAAACAAUUGGUAAUUUCAGGACAGCUUAUUGCAUCUAAAUGUCAAAGAAUAAAAUUAAAACCAGCACACUACCAUCUUUAAAGCUCAAACAAUAACCACAGAGAAAACUUUAAGUCUCAAAAUAAAUUCAUUUUCAUCAUCAAAGUACUCCAAAUACAGUUGUUUCUGCUGUGUGAAGAAUAACUACCAGUCACUUUUUUUUAAAGACUCCUUUUUUUCUGGCCUUGGUUUUGCAAUAUUCUGAGGUAGACAUCAGGUAUGUGGCAAAAGUAUAAUUGUAGCUGUCCUAAGUUUUUACCGUGGGUUUAAGGAAGAGCCUCACUAUAUGUCAGGAAAUAUCCGUCUUCUCUUUCGCAGUUAAGAAUCGUCCUGCAGGCUCACACAUCAAUGCAUUGUGCCAAAAGGCCAAUGAUAUGUAAGGAAUCAGUCGAAUGUGGUUGGGAGUUAUUGUGUCCCGACCACUGAAAGAAUUAUCCCAUAGC
rnacentral:lncRNA from 1 species